AGGUGGUGGCCUGGGCGUCGACUGCUCUGGUAGACGUGGACGCGGGUGGUGUCGGGGGUGCGGUGCUUCCUGCUGACGUGGCCGCUGCUGGUGCGUGGAGUGACGAGGGGGCCGUACGGACGCCUGGUGGUGAACGACGUCCGAAGUGCGGGUGCACGUGAUAGCCGCGUAAACAGAGCGUAGCUUCUCCUCCAUUCGUCUAAGCCAGGACCGGUGCGGCUCCCGUGGUAGUAGAAGUGGACCGGUCGAAAGCAAACGUCCAUACGCAGCGAACUCGGCCUGUAAAUCCUGUGUCAACUGAGCCUGCAAUUGGCACGAAGAGUAUUACAUAUAUAUGGCAAAGUACGUAACAAACACAUGCAUUAUGUUAAGAGAAGAUACUUACCGCGUGCUGUCUAGAGCCUGAAGUAGACUGACUAGGGUACAUAUCUUGCAAACUCGGCUCGGCUAUCUCCUGGGGGUGAGAGUGCUGAAUGAUGGUCAAUCGGGUAGCUGUCAUGUACCUCUGCAAAUAUCCGUUGAAUAGAUCGAGAUCAAAGGCCGCCAAUGGCCAAACCUGUGUCGUCGCAGUCUCCCACUCUGUGACGUACGACUGAACCCUCUGCAGCCACUGAGUCUGGGUCCUGGUACUU
rnacentral:lncRNA from 1 species